rnacentral:SRP_RNA from 16 species
CACUGCCCAGUCCGCCUGGUACUCCCUUGGGCUGUGGUCCCUCUGGGCCUGGGGGUGCCGCUGGGUGUCCACCACCCGGAGGGUUGGCUCCUUGCUCUUUGCUGG